GUUUAAUCUCACAAAUUUGUGUCAACUCUUUGUUUCUAGAAGAAUUUUAUCAUUUGAUCUCAUGGUUACACUUUAGUAGACUUCAGUACAUAUUUUAUUUCCCUCUCCAGAAUAUAAAAUUCCAUCUUGUGUCAAAAUAUUCUUAUUAGUAUCUAUUUAUAUUUCAGAGAUACUUAGAAUCUUCAGCUGAGAGCGGGGUCGUCUUGUAGAAGAUGAUACAGAGGCACACAAUAAAGGACUGCUGGUCCCAGGAGCCUGGCAAGCUAAGCAAGGGGAGAGAGGAAAUAUCACCACUGUUUUGCAGAUGGAAAACCAGAGCUCUGAGAAUCUGUGCAACUUGUUGCAGUGUCACACAGCAAUAUUGGCAAGGGAGUUCUGUAAAAGUGUCAAAGUCCAGACUCAGUGCAUACUAAAGGUGGAUAUAAACCCCGUUUUCUUGGCGAGCAUCAAUAUAAGCUCACAUAAAUUACAGACUCUGUAAUCCUGGGGAGGCGGUAGCAAGCAGAGGGUAUUCACUCAAGAUGGAGCAGCGGAGAAGCACAGUGAUGUUCCCUGAAGACAAAACAAACCAAGUGGAAAGUUCACUGUCUUCCUUUUGAAGAUGACUGAAGGUAGGAGGGGAGAUUGCCAGAAGUGAGGGUGGGGUGGCAGCUGGCACAGAGCUGCUUGCAGCCCCCAAACCUUCAAGGCCAUGGCAAACAUUUCCAACAAAGCCUACUGAAUUCUGUUUGCAGGACUGUGAGCUAAACUCUUUACCAAUGCUAGCUGCACUGCUGUAAUGCUGCCGUCUGACUUAAAACCAGUUCAGGCUAAUUGUUAAGGAUCAGAU
rnacentral:lncRNA from 1 species